rnacentral:rRNA from 1 species
AUGGCGCCGUCCAAACCAUCGGUUCAGACGCGGCAGCUGCUGUCCGCCAUGGACGACAACACGAGCACGCUCAAGGCACUCAUGGAGACCGUUCUCUCGCGCCUCGAUGAGCAAAAGGCCGACAACGUAAAGCGACUCGAGGUGCAGGCCGCGCUCAACGCGCAGGUCACACAGGAUCUGCGGGCGCUGGCCAAGCAGGUGGAUCUCACUCAGGCCGACAUGGACGAUACUCGCAAGGCACUCGAGAAAUCACCGUCGCCACGCGGAUCGGGGCCGGGCGCCGUCAUCAACCCGUCCCCACCGCCACCCCCGCCGCCGCCUCCCCUGUGUCCCCCACCCGUGCAUCAACAACCACACGGACUGCCACCGUCUCCACGUCUCUCAGAUCAGCGCCCGCCUCUGCUUCAGGCACCGAUCCAGCAGCAGCACGAGCAGCAACUCUAUCAACACCACGACACCUACAUCAAGCCGCCCAAGCAUGAUUUUCCGCGCUUCGACGGCACGGCGCCGUACCUCUGGCUGGAUCGCUGCCGCGCCUACUUUGACCUCUACCGCGUGCCACCGUCGAGCUGGGUGACCACGGCGACGCUGUACAUCGAGGGCCAGGCCGCCCACUGGCUGCAGGCAUUUCGGCAAACACAUGGUGGCCUGGGUUGGGAGGCGUUCUGCGCAGCAAUCAUCGAGGAAUUCGGCACUGACGAGUUCGAGUUGGAGAUGCACAAGCUUCUCCAACUCCGGCAGAGCGGCACCGUCAGCGAGUACCGCCAAGUGUUCGACAGCCAUAUGUACCACCUCCUGGCGCUCGAACCGUCGCUCUCCACCACGCAGUUUUUACUGGGCCUCAAGGACGAACUGUGCGUAGCGGUGCGUCUCCAAGCCCCUACCAGCAUCACGCGCGCAUCGAUCCUUGCCCGCAUCCAAGAGGAGGAGCUGAACACGCCACGAGCACGGCUGCGACCACCACCCCAAGGCCGUCCACCUCCAGCGCCACCAGCGCGCCCGGGCGCCGCGCCGCGCCAAUAG